rnacentral:piRNA from 1 species
UGAUGGUAUGUUUUAAACCAA